CGGUUGAGAGGGCCCGUUGUGCGGUCCGUUGGGGUUGAAACCUCACUCAGCUG
rnacentral:ncRNA from 1 species